AUUGAACGCUGGCGGCAGGCCUAACACAUGCAAGUCGAGCGAGCGGCGGACGGGUGAGUAAUAUCUGGGGAACUGCCUGAUGGGGGGGGAUAACUACUGGAAACGGUAGCUAAUACCGCGUACCAUCACAUAUGCGCCGAUGGGAUUAGCUAGUAGGUGGGGUAACGGCUCACCUAGGCGACGAGCCCUAGCUGGUCUGAGAGGAUGACCAGCCACACUGGAACUGAGACACGGUCCAGACUCCUACGGGAGGCAGCAGUGGGGAAUAUUGGACAAUGGGCGAAAGCCUGAUGCAGCCAUGCCGCGUGUGUGAAGAAGGUCUUCGGAUUGUAAAGCACUUUAAGUUGGGAGGCGUUACCAGCAGAAUAAGCACCGGCUAACUUCGUGCCAGCAGCCGCGGUAAUAC
rnacentral:rRNA from 1 species